rnacentral:rRNA from 1 species
UGAGGAAUAUUGGUCAAUGGGCGAGAGCCUGAACCAGCCAAGUCGCGUGAAGGAAGACAGUCCUAAGGAUUGUAAACUUCUUUUAUACGGGAAUAACGGGCGAUACGAGUAUUGCAUUGAAUGUAACGUAAGAAUAAGCAUCGGCUAACUCCGUGCCAGCAGCCGCGGUAAUACGGAGGAUGCGAGCGUUAUCCGGAUUUAUUGGGUUUAAAGGGUGCGUAGGUUGUUCGGUAAGGCAGCGGUGAAACCUGAGCGCUCAACGUUCAGCCUGCCGUUGAAACUGCCGGGCUUGAGUUCAGUGGCGGCAGGCGGAAUGCGUUGUGUAGCGAUGAAAUGCAUAGAUAUCACGAGGAACUCCGAUUGCGAAGGCAGCUUGCCAUACGGCGACUGACACUGAAGCACGAAGGCGUGGGUAUCAAACAGG